rnacentral:rRNA from 1 species
CAGCAGCCGCGGUAAUACAGAGGGUGCGAGCGUUAAUCGGAUUUACUGGGCGUAAAGCGUGCGUAGGCGGCUUUUUAAGUCGGAUGUGAAAUCCCUGAGCUUAACUUAGGAAUUGCAUUCGAUACUGGGAAGCUAGAGUAUGGGAGAGGAUGGUAGAAUUCCAGGUGUAGCGGUGAAAUGCGUAGAGAUCUGGAGGAAUACCGAUGGCGAAGGCAGCCAUCUGGCCUAAUACUGACGCUGAGGUACGAAAGCGUGGGGAGCAAACAGGAUUAGAUACCCCUGUAGUCCCUGUCUCUUAUAA